rnacentral:piRNA from 1 species
UGUUGAGCCCUGCACUCCAGACAGCCUU